GCUGAAUAAAAAAAAAAACACAUGCACUCCGGAUGAGCGUCAGACUCUGACUGAAAGUUUUAUCGUCGAAACGGCGAAGUUACUCCAACCAGCCCAAUGCCAUUGGUUGAGGCACGUACGAGCCCUCGACAUGUGCGUAUCAACGAAAUUGAAAGAAUUCAUGAUGAAUCGAUGGUGUGAGAGGGGAAACAGGUGAUGGAGGUUGACCCAUUUUUCAAUCGUCUGUGACGUCUUCUCCGCAGUUGCAGCAACCGAAAUUCCACGUCUGAAAUAAUAAAGAGAAAUGUAUAAAACCGGAAUUAUUUUCAUUGUAUCAACUAAAAUAUUAAUUAUCAAAGUUUAUAAUUAUUCAUCUGCCAAAAAAUGAACGUUCAACUCAAUAAAAUUGAUGAAUUCA